rnacentral:tRNA from 1 species
AAAUAAGAAGCGAUAUUAUUGCUUUUAGUUUCGACCUAAAUUUAGGUAAAAUUUUUACCCUUAUUUU